CUCUGCCCCUCUCCCCUGCUCAUGCUUGCUCUCUAAAAUUAAAAAAAAUAAUAAUAAAAAAGAAGGUUUAGGAUGUCCCAAUGAUUCUCUCACCCCCCAUACCUCUUACUGUUGUAGUUUUAUGUAGACCAAUUUCAUAGACACAUAUAUUUGCUGGGAAGCUUAAAGUUGAAAAGUUACUCUAGCCAUGCCAUCAAGGAACAUAGUAAUGGUGCAAAGGACUGGUGUGUCUUUUGUUGUAGCUUGAUGCUGGCUUACAAACUAGUUCUAAAGAAUUUACCUGAUUUUUCUUCUCUCCCUCUUCCUCCUUUGGGUAACAGGAAAUUUUUUCUUCAGAUUUCAGAAUCAGCUCAGCUAUGUGCUUGGAACAGAUUAAUUACCCUGAAUUCUCACAAAUAAAGGCAUGAAGAUUAAAGAGAUUACAGGAUUCUAAUGAUAACCCCUGUUCAGAGGCCACAGAAGAUGGCAGAGGGCAGGUCCUGGUGCUCCAUGGCCCAGGCAUCUCCCAGGGCACCUGGCAGCCAUUGUGGCCAAACAGGUACCACUGGGCCAGGAGGUAAUGGUCACUUGCUGUGAGAGCAUCAACGUAUCUGGCAAUUUCCACAGAAACAAGUUAAAGUACCUGGUCUCUUUCUGCAAGAGAAUGAUCGCCAGCCCAUCCUUUGGCCGCUACCCAUUCUUUGCCUCCAGUUAUUCUUUAUGAAGGUGCGAGGCAGGCUGUCUCCAAUACCAAGGGAGGCCAGGCUGCCCUAAGCACCUCAAGGUGUUCAAUGGGCCCCACUGCCCUACAACAAGAAGAAGCAGAGGGUCAGUUCCUGCUUCCCUCAAGGUUGUACAUAGGUAGCCUACAGGAAAGUUUGCCUGAACCGGGCACCUGGCUCUCAAGGCUGGCUGGAAGAACCAGGCGAUGACAGCCACCCCGAAGAAGAGGAAGAAGGCCACAGUCCAUUAUCUGAAGGAAGAGCAGCUCACAAGACUAAUGAAACAGGCCUGAAAGAAGGUUGAGAAGAAAACUGACAAAUAGAGGUCCUCAAGACUCUCAGACUCUGGUCUGAGUCUAAUAAAGACUGUUCAUUAAGACUGUUCAUUAAAAAAAAAAAUCCAUAAUUUACACAUAUUAUUUUUAUGAUUAGAUGAUGAAAUGCUAUUUUGUACAUUAAUAAAUUUAACUUGGGGCAUUUGGUAGAGCAUGCAACUCUUGAUCUUGGGGUUCUAAGUUUGAGCCCCAUGUUGAAUGUAGAGAUUACUUUAAAAAAAAUCUUUAAAAAAAUUUAAUUUUUAAGACUACGACUGUAACAUGCAGGGUCCUCUGAAAAGCAGGGUUCAGAAUGGGGACUCCUCUUACUACAAUUAAAGAGUAUCCUGACUUGGAGACAUUUCCUAGGGAAGUGACAACAUGAAGGCUUAGGGCUGGGAAUAGGCAGAAUUUUCCUUUUAGCUUCGUUUUAAUGUAUGCCUUUCUUUUGUGUGUCCAUGACAAAUCAGACACCUCCAUUCCCCAGCAAAUUUCUUUUUUAAAAAAAUAUUUAUUUAUUAAUUUAUUUAGAGAGAGCAUGGGAGCAGGGGAGGGGCAG